GUUCGUUCAUUCAGUAAUCGUGAAACAUGAAAAAUUAUUUUAAGUACAUAUCACAUUCCUUGAAAGAAAAAAAUGAACAUGAUUGAGAAAAUAAGCAACUAAAGAAAGCUUUAUCCAUUUUAAUUUAUAUACUGUAAUGCCGGACUGUGCUGCUCCAAAAAUACCAACAAUGACCCAAUUCGUGUCAUUUCUGUCACAGUUUUCUGCUUUCUCAUGCAGUAUUGUUGAAUCAUUCUUCAGCACUGAGCAAAGCUGAUACUGUCUUCAGUGGAGUGCUUCCAGAUAUGCAGAAAGAUAUUUGAUAUCAUGAUACAUGUUUGAGCAGAUAAUGACUUGGGCACAGUAUUUAGUAUUUCACCUGCAUAAUAUCCUGAA
rnacentral:lncRNA from 1 species